rnacentral:misc_RNA from 1 species
CUGAGAGUACCGGGCUUUGCCUGGCUACUUUUACCCAUGUUUUUUGAGCACCAAAAGUUUCCUCGGCGGCUCCGCCCGCCGGUUGGACUUCAUUCAAACCCUUUGCAGUUGCAGUCAGUGUCUGAUAAACAUAAUAAUUA